rnacentral:rRNA from 1 species
GAUGGCUUACCAUGCAAGUCGAGGGGUAACAGAUCUUCGGAUGCUGACGACCGGCGAACGGGUGAGUAACACGUAUGCAACUUACCCAUAACUCGGGAAUAGCCCAAAGAAAUUUGGAUUAAUACCCAAUAAUACAGGCGUACCGCAUGGUAUUCUUCGUUAAAGAAUAAUCGGUUAUGGAUAGGCAUGCGUUCUAUUAGGUAGUUGGUGAGGUAACGGCUCACCAAGCCGACGAUGGAUAGGGGAACUGAGAGGUUGUCCCCCCACACUGGUACUGAGACACGGACCAGACUCCUACGGGAGGCAGCAGUGAGGAAUAUUGGUCAAUGGACGAAAGUCUGAACCAGCCAAAUCGCGUGAAGGAAGAAGGUAUUAUGUAUCGUAAACUUCUUUUGUAAGAGAGUAAAGUGCACUACGUGUAGUGUAUUGCAAGUACCUUACGAAUAAGCAUCGGCUAAUUCCGUGCCAGCAGCCGCGGUAAUACGGAAGAUGCAAGUGUUAUCCGGAUUUAUUGGGUUUAAAGGGUGCGUAGGUGGUCUAAUAAGUCAGUGGUGAAAUCUCUUUGCUUAACAAGGAAAUUGCCAUUGAAACUGUUAGACUUGAGAAUGGACGAGGUAGGCGGAAUUCGUAGUGUAGCGGUGAAAUGCAUAGAUAUUACGAAGAACUCCAAUAGUGUAGACUGCUUACCAGACCAUAUCUGACACUAAGGCACGAAAGUGUGGGUAUCAAACAGGAUUAGAUACCCUGGUAGUCCACACAGUAAACGAUGAAUACUAACUGUUUGCGAUAUACAGCAAGUGGUCGAGCGAAGCGUAAUAUCCACUCCACCUGGGAAGUAUGCCGGCAACGGGUGAAACUCAAGGAAUUGACGGGGGCCUCGCACAAGCGGAGGAACAUGUG